UGACUUAAGCAUAUCAAUAAGCGGAGGAAAAGAAACCAACAGGGAUUGCCUCAGUAACGGCGAGUGAAGCGGCAACAGCUCAAAUUUGAAAUCUGACCCCUUCGGGGCCCGAGUUGUAAUUUGUAGAGGACGCUUCGGGUGCGGCGCCGGUCUAAGUUCCUUGGAACAGGACGUCAUAGAGGGUGAGAAUCCCGUAUGCGACCGGCGGUCAACCUCAUGUGAAGCCCCUUCGACGAGUCGAGUUGUUUGGGAAUGCAGCUCAAAAUGGGUGGUAAAUUUCAUCUAAAGCUAAAUACCGGCCAGAGACCGAUAGCGCACAAGUAGAGUGAUCGAAAGAUGAAAAGCACUUUGGAAAGAGAGUCAAACAGUACGUGAAAUUGUUGAAAGGGAAGCGCUUGCAACCAGACCUGCCCGCGGGCGAUCAGCCGUUAUUCUUAGCGGUGCACUCGUCCGCGAUCAGGCCAGCAUCGGUUCGGGCGGCCGGAUAAAGGCUUCGGGAAUGUAGCUCCCCCCGGGGAGUCUUAUAGCCCGGGGUGCAAUGCGGCCAGCCCGGACCGAGGACCGCGCUUCGGCUAGGAUGCUGGCGUAAUGGUUGUAAGCGACCCGUCUUGAAACACGGACC
rnacentral:rRNA from 1 species